rnacentral:misc_RNA from 1 species
GUGAAUCAUCAAAUCUUUGAACGCAAAUUGCACUCUCCUCGGAGAGUAUGCCUGUUUGAGGGGCAGCCUAUAAAAAUCGACAUCGUUGCUGGUUCGCGGUGGCGUUCGUCGGGAAUGGGGGCAUCUUAAAUCCUUGUGAUUUAAGCGACUUAGAAUUUUCUUUUGUUUCUAUGAACGUUUCUAGGAUCUAUUUCUUUACGCGUUUAAGGUAUCGAUUUUUGCUAG